UACGAAGGGGGCUAGCGUUGCUCGGAAUCACUGGGCGUAAAGGGUGCGUAGGCGGGUCUUUUAAGUCAGGGGUGAAAUCCUGGAGCUCAACUCCAGAACUGCCUUUGAUACUGAAGAUCUUGAGUGCGGGAGAGGUGAGUGGAACUGCGAGUGUAGAGGUGAAAUUCGUAGAUAUUCGCAAGAACACCAGUGGCGAAGGCGGCUCACUGGCCCGAUACUGACGCUGAGGCACGAAAGCGUGGGGAGCAAACAGG
rnacentral:rRNA from 1 species